GCCUGCCCAGUGACCAUGAGUUCAACGGCCGCGGUAUUCUGACCGCGCGAAGGUAGCGUAAUCACUUGUUUUUUAAAUAAAGACUGGUAUGAACGGCCGCACGAGGACCUAACUGUCUCCUUUGUCCAAUCAGUGAAACUGAUCUCCUCGUGCAGAAGCGAGGAUUUUAUCAUAAGACGAGAAGACCCUAUGGAGCUUUAAACUUUUAUUAAUUAUUUUCUUCACCCCUCUAAGGAGCUAACAACCAAUUUAAUUUUUUAAUAAAAGUUUUAGGUUGGGGCGACCAUGGAGAAAAAAAUAUCCUCCCUGAUGACACCUAACUAAGAGCCACAGCUCCAAGUAUUAAGACACUUAACUCCUAUUGACCCAUUUUAUGAUCAACGAACCAAGUUACCCUAGGGAUAACAGCGCAAUCCAUUUCAAGAGUCCCUAUCGACAAAUGGGUUUACGACCUCGAUGUUGGAUCAGGGCAUCCAAGUGGUGCAACCGCUACUAAAGGUUCGUUUGUUCAACGAUUAAAGCCCU
rnacentral:rRNA from 1 species